CGUGUCGUUCUUGCGAGAGAAGCUCUUUGAGGUUAUGGAACCGUCGCGAUCACGGGCGAAACCAACUUUAUGUCUGAUGUAAUUUCGUAUCUCAAUGAUGUAAAAAUAUAUCUGAACUGGAGAAAGAACACAAAAGAAAGGAGAACCUGUGCUAUACAAUCAUAAGGCACACUAUCUUUUAUCCGGAGAGAUACUAUCCAGUAUUUAAAAUAAAAGACGUACUGGUAUCGCACAUGCAGCUUUGUAAAUUUUGAGUCUCGCAAUAUGGUACGCAUUUGCCUAGGCGGCAUUGUCCACGUUCGAGGCAACCGGUGCCAUCUUUCAUCGGUGGAGAUCUCGGACAUUCGCUAGACGCUCCGGUGCAGCGCGAUUCCUGUUCGCAAGUGGCGUAUUGCGCAUCACGGCAUUUCACGCCAGCAGGCAUAUAUGCACAACUCUGGCAGCAAGGUGAGUUUUUGUCGCUGUUGAAAGAAAUAAAAUGCAAACGCUAUUAUACAGUGUCAUGAAUAUAAUUAACCUAAGGAUUUUAAUCGCGGAGAUGAAAAAAAAUGGUUACUUAAAUAUGAUUCUAAAUAGUUUACCUACAAACUGCUCCUUGAUUACUUCGUAGUUUACAAUUUUUGUCGCAACAUGAAUCAUUAUCUUCCGUCCCCAAGAGACCCGCGUCACAUUCCUCGUCACCCUCGACUCUCAAAUUUCCACAGAAUGAUUCCUCCGGUUCUGAGAAACAGCGUCCAGAUUUGGCUUGCAAAACUUUCCUGAUGGAUCGCAAGCUACACGGAGAAAAUCUCUGUGAAAAAAGAAACGUGAAUCUAUUAAAACACAGGCGUAAAAAUGAAAAUAUACAUAGCAUAAAGUAUAAGAUAUUAAUGCAUCAUUUGAGAAACAUUAAAAUAUUCAAUACAUCAUGUUAAGAUAAAAAUUACAGUUUGAAAAAAGCAUGUACUUCACCUUGUUGUUUACGUCAUAGCCACUAACACUGUAAGUAUACAUUAAGUAAGAUCCACCUUGGCUUGCACUUGGACUGCACUCCUGCAAUAAUAUUAAAAAAUUAAAUUCUAGUCUCGAGAAUUAAAAAAGAAAAACUUGUGUAAGAUCAGGGGAUACAAAAAUAUAUUUCAAAAGUUAAUAUGUAUAAGAUAUUUCAUAUUUUUGCAUUAAGAAAAACUGCUUUUGCCUUAUGACUUUGUCUUAAUUAUUUUCUUUUUUCAAUGGCUAUUCAUUGUUUAAUAUUUCACUGAUUUUCAGAAAUAAUUUGUAGUAUAAUAGUAUACAGUAUAGAAUACAGCGAUAAUUGAAUCACAACUUACCGAGAUAUCUGGAUCGUGCUCUGAACCCCAAUUAUGACCAAAUUCAUGUGCUGUAACCAAAUCAGCUUCCCUUGUAAUCACUCUCUGACCAUAAUGAUUUCUGCUGGAGCUUAAUCCCGAGUUCAGAUACAAUGUAUAUCCAUUUUUGAAAUAUUCUGCAGAAAAUAUUUAUUUUAUUUUAUAAAUAUCAUUUUUUAUAUCAUUUUAUUUUAUAUUUUUCAUGUCUAUUUUAUUUUUUUAUCGUGUAAAUGUCAUUAUAUACUUUGUCGUUGCACAAAGAGUAAGAGAAAAAAAUUAAAUGUUUUUAAUGUACCUGGUGUACAGAUACCGCCCACCGAAUUUCUUCGAGGAGAUCCUACAUAAGCCAAUCCGAGGAUGCCACCUUCAAACUUGAGAUCGGUAAAUAAGUGAGCCAAGCAGAAAUCUUUAUGGCUAUAUUCUCGACUGAACACCUAUUAACAUAACAAAAGACAUUUAAUUUCAAUAACUUGAAUUUAACGAAGUUAAUUAGAUUAAAAUUAAUUAAUAAAUAAUAAUUUAAGAAGUUAAUUUUAUUAGCGAUAUUCUUUUUCGUAAGCUGCAUAUAAUAACCUCGAGCAAUGUACGGACGUCCCAUUUCUCGCGAACCAUAUUAUAAUGCGUUUCGCCGCCCCUCACUCGUGUCGGUUCACUGUGAACGACGAUUUUUUUGAUGACGAAACCCAUUCCUUUGAAACCGUCCUCCUCUUGAUGUUCUUGCCAUAAAGUAUCAUUGUAAAUCUUAUGUACUCUAUCGAUUAAACUUAUCUGUGAACACAAAUUAUAAUUUAAACAUUAUUAUAUAAUUAUGAAUCAAUGUACAAUAACUGUGUACCUUUACACUUACCAAGUAAUUAAUUGUAGUUUUUGUACUGCUGGCACCCAUUUCCUGGUAAAAUCGAUAAUCAGCGACCAAUAGUAAUGGGCAUCUUGUUUUCGUCGGUGUAUAUUCGUAAGUCUCCGUUUGCCUCUUGACUCUGCUGCUGUUAUUAUCCGUUUCCGUAUCAUCCUCAGAAUUGUCAUUUACAGUAUAAUCUGCGAUGAUAAUAGUUAUUAUCACAAUAUGUUAAAAAUAAUAUAGAAAGCACAAAAAACAUUAUAAUUAUUUUAUAAAAUUGUGCAUUAUUUAUAUCUGUAGAACCAUACUUAAAUUUUCUUUGACAUAACCACAGGUCUUUGGAGUUCCAUGUGUAUGGCCUUCUCCGUCUUGGUAAUGCUCCCAACUGAGUUUAACGUCAGAAGAUUUAUAAAUAAUCAUCGUUUGAUUAUCCAAAUGCGAAAGAUGUCUCCAGGAUGGCUAAAAUACAAAUGAACUUCUUAAUUAUAAUAGACAAGGGUAACAAAAAUACAAUGGUAACCCAAAAAUUAAAUGUGAUUAUCUAAAAUACAGUUACAUUGCAAAAUUUUUUCUACUAAAAUUAUAUACGUAUAUUAUUUUCGAUA